rnacentral:rRNA from 1 species
UACGUAGGGGGCAAGCGUUGUCCGGAUUUAUUGGGCGUAAAGAGCGUGUAGGCGGCCAGGUAGGUCUGGUGUGAAAACUCGAGGCUCAACCUCGAGAGGUCAUCGGAAACCAUUUGGCUAGAGUCCGGAAGAGGAGAGUGGAAUUCCCGGUGUAGCGGUGAAAUGCGCAGAUAUCAGGAAGAACACCCGUGGCUAAGGCGGCUCUCUAGUACGGUACUGACGCUGAGACGCGAAAGCGUGGGGAGCGAACAGG